UAUUUUCCCUCCCUUGAUUUGAAACCCUAAUUAACCCUGUCCCUUCUUCCACUCAAAUCCCAUACCCCCAAAUCUAAUGGUUCUUCUUCUCAUCUCUCUCACCCUAUCAAUAUGGUGCGAUUUCUAAAUCUGCCAGCUUCGCAACGACUACACAUAGGCCCUUGUGCGAGAAUGGCAUUUCGAACCAGCUCUUAAACAUUCUUCUGAGACGUCAUCAUGAUGAGGCGAUUCAGUUAUUCUUAUGGGGAAGAAUACGAUGAUGAAGCAGUUUAUUAGAAUCAAUAUGAGAAGACCAGAAACAAGGCCUAUUUGAAUCUCAUCCCUCUCCUUGUUUUUUGGGCUGGGUAUAAGAAACUAAGCAUCCAGGAACGACUCUACGGGAAUGAAGCACUUGGAGCCUUGGGGAACUUUAGCAAAACUAGGGCUUUCGAUUGGUGGUGGAACUCAGGAAAACUAGAGUCUCGUGGAGGCAUGAAACGUCAGCCAUGGAAAAGAUGAAUCGACAAAGGGCUUUGGAAACCAACUUAUAUAUGUUGAGUACUUCAGGAAUGGCAGGAAGUCUGAUCCACAAAAGUGUAAACAGCAAAUCAGUGUAUUUAAAACCAAAAAAGCUAAUGCGUUAACAGAUGAAGCCAAAAAAAUAUUAUGGGUAUUAAUCAUAUGUUUAGUAUGCCUUGUUGUCAAAUAUCGUUUCGUCACCAGAUGUUCUAUCUUUCUUUUUAGUUAAGCUGGGUGAAGCUGUACAAGAGGUAUUAUUUUUAAAAGAUUUUUCUUACUAUGGGUUUCACUUAGUAGUGAUAAGUUUGACCCAUUCCCUAUUUAUUUUAUAUUUAUUUGGGUAAGAAUUUGUUUACCCAUUUAACAUGGUCAAUUCAUUUGCAUUUUUGUUUUAAGUUUUUGUGUUUUGUGUUGUUGAUGCUUUGUUCAAAGUAGUAAUUUACUUGUGAUUAUAGAAGUUGUUUUGUUGUAUUUGUGUUUCGAGACGUUCUUACACCUGACCUACUUCAACUCUUCAAGGACAAAUAACCUACCCUCUAAAAAGACUAGCAGGCAAUUUAUACAGUUCCAGUUGCAAAUACGAAUUAAAGAUGUCGAUUUGGAUUGCAAGUAUAAAGACAUUGGUUCCGGAAGUUAUUGUAUAUCACUUUCAUCUUAGAGAUAUAUGUAUUUGCGUUACUUUGAAAAUUUUGUAAUUUUCUGUUACUUUCAAAUCUUUGUAAUUUACAUUUUUGGGUUAUAUUGGUUUAAUUUAAUUUUUUUUUGUAUUUUUUA